rnacentral:rRNA from 11 species
GAGGGCAAACAUAGCUGCCUGUCAUCUUUUAGGCAGGGAUGGGCACUAGAUCCAGACUGCUCUUGGAAGCUAGGCAGGGUUAGCCCUGGUUGGUACUUGGAUGGGAGAUCACAAGCAAAUACAGAAACUUUGUCUAUA